CACAAGUUUUCCUUUGCUGUCGACAAAGGGCAAGACAUUUACAGUUGGAGUAAAAUUCUUGUCCCUCAAUUUUUCAUUCAUUUAAAAUAUACGGAAAUAAUUUUUUUUAAAAUAUGCCUUUCACAAUAGACAUUAAGGAAAUCCCCAACCUCUGACAGUCUUAAAUAGGACUUUUUUUCUUUUUGCUGACAUAAACAUCAGUUCUUAAUGUGGAUUCAAGCAUUUGACUAAUUUAAAAUUUAUUUUUAAACUGCUGUGAGGUUUAUAUUUGAAAACAUCUGCUGAGCUGCUGGCCCUGUAGCUACCUUUAGCAAUGUUUUAUUAUGUUGACUAAGCUUAUAAUGGUGAUUCUCUGCUCUACCGCUGACAUCUUAAUUGCUGCCUCACCAAUACUGAUGUUGUAGGAGGUAUGUGGGACUGACUUUUACAUCUAUAAUGAUAUGGUAAUGUGAAUCAUUACACUGUCAGUGGUGGUUUAUUGGCAUUAUGGUUUAAGAUUAUGAGCGUAUUACAGUGUCAGUGCAAACAAAUACUGCCGCUUUUAAAGUAAGCAGAUGAAAGACAGAAAAGUGCUAAAAUAGUUAUAAUAUUAAAUUCACAAUAGCAAGAUAGUGUUUGCUUAAGGCAGCCCCUGCCCUAAAUUCAUAUGUUAUCUGCAUAAUUCAGCAAUGCAUACUGUGCAGUCAUCUCCUGGAGAUUCCACAGCAUCAGGCAGAAAUAACAAAUGACCUAGGUUCCGAAAGGAGGAUGGGUAGAAGCAGAAAUAGGAAACAGCAGAAAUCAGACAACACCAUCUGACAAGAACUUUUGUAGAUGUAAACAUCAGAUCUGUGAACAUGAACUCUGUGUCCUCGUAUCUCCAGUGGAAGGUGUUGUGGAAAAUGAGAGCUGAUGAAACGAUGUCAGCCCUGAAUUGGAGGACAGGAUUUCUUCUGCAUAAUGCUCCAUGUGCAACAGGAGGCAGCAACCAGAUACCAGAAAUCUUCUUUCAUUCUGAUACCAAAAAUCCACUCCUCUCACACUUAGAAGCCUUUUAAUUUCUGCAUGAAAUUUGUUCAGGUAAGUAUAUACCCAUUUAAUCCUAGGUCAGCCUUUUGUCUGUAGAAAAUAGUCUGGCAAUGGUAAGUCCAUCAGAAUGAAUUUUCCUUACUGGAGCUUGACUCUGCUGGAAAUACUGGUACACACUCAGAUUCCUCUGGGGUCUUUUUAUUGCCAUAGUAUGCUGGCACUUCAGAGUCACCAGGUACUCACCUAGUAUAUCCAAGUAUAUCUUUUUUCUUACUUCUAAUAGGGGCGAUCCCAGCUAUUAACAAAAACAUUUUCUGUAGAAUAUCUUUACAGGCAUGACCUUUUAUGUCUUCUAUUAAAUUACCUCUAUUACUUCAAUCUUCAAGGUUACACAGUCCCUACAUAAGACACUCCACUCUGGACCUUUUCUGCAAAGAAUGCCUGAGCAAAUUUUAGCAGUGUACCUUUUUUUUGCCCCAUGCCUUGUUCAUGCAUAAAAUUCCCUCCAGCGCAGGUUCUGAUUUUUCCAUUAUGAACAGGAUCAUCUCUCCUUCAGCUAGUUAGCUAUGCAAUAUAGAAAUCUCAUAUUAAUGUCCAUCUUUUACUCUUUAAUAAAUAAUUUCUCAUUUGACAAUGAAGCUUAUAAUUUCUGGAUACUUUCUGAAUAGCUCUGUCUUGAAAGAUCUGUCUUGAAAAUACAUAUAAUAUCUAACAGUUUAACAUGUAAACUGCUAAGCAGAUGGUAUUAACAAGUUAAGCCACUUUCAGUCAAGCAAAAACAUGAGGCCUGUGCAUAAAUCACCAGCUCUAGCCAUGUAUCUGUUAGGAAAUACGUAGUCUUCCACUUAAUCAAGGCAACAGUGGACAUUUUACCACUGAAAUGUUUUUGGGUGCCCAGAAAGUUUGAAGAAUCUGGAGUCCCCCAAAACCAGAAGCACUUUGUGGGCAGUUUGGUCUGAGGAUGAAGGAGAUGAUGAAGUUUUUUGCAUCAUUCACCUGUAUUGUCAGGGUCAUUUCAGGUUCUGCUUAUCUACACUAGAUAUCCAAUUUCCAGUUUUUAGGUAUUUCCACAUGACUUGUUACAGGACAGUAACAACAGCAACAACAACAAAAUCCCCAAAGAAUUCGUAACAUUAAUAUUAUAUUAAGCUCACUGUUCUUAUAUUAAAUGUGGAACUGUUCUUUCAAGAUUCAGAGUAAUCAUAUGGUAAAUAACUGCAGAAUUUCAGGACUUCUCUUUACCCUGAAGAACAGAACAGUUCAGCAGCUACUUGUUGAUCACUGUUGAUGCACUCAGCAGUUGCUUAUUUGCAGGUAUCUGUCUUCAGAAAUAGUUUGCCACCAUCAGAAAGGUUUUGUUAGUAAAGAAUCAGCACUAGUGUUCAGUGUAGGCUUUGCUCAAAGGCGAGUUAACUCGAGUGUAUUGACUGAGUUGAUGGCUUGAGUGAUAUCUGAGGAUGGUGGCUGCAGGAUUGCUCUGCAGAUUCUCUGGUUUGGUCAUUGCAGUCAUAUUUAAAAAGGAGUUAAAUGGAAAUGGUGGAAAUCUGUGAGAUGGCACUGAUUAGUUAACUUUCAUUGUUAAAUCCUGGAUGGACUAGGAUUGAAAAUUAAUCCUUGACACUGGAAAUAUGGAAAAGGUCUGUGAAAAGGCAUCUUUAGCACGUCGUGGUUUUUCUUUUGUCUCCUGUGGUAGUUCUCAACUCUUCAGAGGUGCAGAGCAAGUAGAUGUGUGAACCUCUGUAGACAUUCCUCAUAUACAGCAUGUAGAGCCCCUUCUACAGUAUGAGGAGUUUUGCUUUUCUUAGUCACCUUUUGCAAACUCUUCGGAAGCUGGGCACAAACUCCUAGGGGUCUCCUGGGGGUCACUCACUGGCUGAGCUAACUGUGUUUGGGAAUGAAGGUAUUUUAAGUUAAGGGAUCCUGCUUUUCAUCUUGGAAGGUAAUCCCAUCAUAGGCUGAACAUUUCUGUAGUAUAGAUAAUAAUGAGGAUUGUGGUAGGAAAGAGAGACUGUUUGUGUUACUGCUCUGGAGGCAGGAAAAGCCAGAAUCUGUGAGGCCAGUGAAACUGCUCUCUGAGGAUGGCAGAAAUGCUGUUACAGUUACCAUGAAUCCAAGGAAGGAAAGUUCAGGGCAAGAGCAAAUUAUGGAAAGUAAAAUUGUAGUUAUUGGGAGGAAUUAGACUAAAGGAGGAAUGCGGAGAGGAGCAAAUGUAGAGAGUGCAUCCUUUUACAGAAAUGUGGGAAUCCAAGGGUCUUCUAGUCAAGAGGUAGAAAACAUACCUGUAACAAAGCAGCUUUGUAAUAUUUGAUUAGCAAUUAGAUGAUUUUUAACAACUCGUUUGUGAAAACAUUUAUACAGCAAACCUCCAGGCGAGAUCUAUGGAAGCAACAGAGGCAGAUGCCAGCAAAAUGGAAAAGAGAGGUUCAGAGGCUAGAGUAGGAAACCUACUGAGUGGUAUAAUAUGCCUGGCAUGUAGAUACAUAUGUAUAGCUCAUCAGGUCUUCCUCUUUGCCUCUGUCUCAGUGAGGGGUAGCUAGUUAUCUCACCCACUGACCUGUGUCUGUCAGCAGGCUGCUCGGCACAGGCAGCCAGGAAACUAAAUCUUCUCUGCAAUGGCAGAGGUGGGAAUGCUAUGAGGGACUGCAUGACACAGUCAAAUAAAAUGCACAAGCAGAGUAAGAGCCUGUCUGCAAUGCCUACAAAAAUCUUCAGCAUUUUCUUCAGUCACUGUACCCAGCUGAGAGCAAACAGCCUGAGCUCUGUCAGUGGGGGGCAGUGGGCAGCAGAAACUGCCGCAUAAAGUGCAAGGGACAAGGAGGAGGGCACCAGCGGGCUUUAACGUGCCAUGUGCUUCUGGGGUGCCAGAACACUGACCUCCUACUCAUUUCUCAGAGAAACUCAUUUCUCUGAGCUUGGUAGCUUACAGUGUCCUUUUAAAACCCCAAGUUGUCCCUAGCAUGCAAACACAGGUUUGCAGCAUCACUUGCAUCUGGAAGCAUUGCUCUGCAAACCCAUUGACAUGAUAUUGCAGCUAGC
rnacentral:lncRNA from 13 species